rnacentral:rRNA from 1 species
UACGUAGGGUGCAAGCGUUGUCCGGAAUUACUGGGCGUAAAGGGCGCGUAGGCGGUGUGUCAAGUCAGGCGUGAAAGCCCCGGGCUCAACCUGGGAACAGCGCUUGAGACUGGCACGCUCGAGUUCGGGAGAGGAUGGUGGAAUUCCCAGUGUAGAGGUGAAAUUCGCAGAUAUUGGGAAGAACACCGAUGGCGAAGGCAGCCAUCUGGACCGACACUGACGCUGAGGCGCGAAAGCGUGGGGAGCAAACAGG